CUGGGCAUAGUGUAACGGUAGCACGUAACCUUCGGGAGGUUAUAGCCCCGGUUCGAAUCCGGGUGCCCAGA
rnacentral:tRNA from 1 species